UCCUCCCUCUGGCGGCGUGCUUAACACAUGCAAGUCGAACGAAGAGCGACGGAAGCUUGCUUCUAUCAAUCUUAGUGGCGAACGGGUGAGUAACGCGUAAUCAACCUGCCCUUCAGAGGGGGACAACAGUUGGAAACGACUGCUAAUACCGCAUACGAUCUAACCUCGGCAUCGAGGAUAGAUGAAAGGUGGCCUCUACAUGUAAGCUAUCACUGAAGGAGGGGAUUGCGUCUGAUUAGCUAGUUGGAGGGGUAGCGGCCCACCAAGGCGAUGAUCAGUAGCCGGUCUGCGAGGAUGAACGGCCACAUUGGGACUGAGACACGGCCCAGACUCCUACGGGAGGCAGCAGUGGGGAAUCUUCCGCAAUGGACGAAAGUCUGACGGAGCAACGCCGCGUGAGUGAUGACGGCCUUCGGGUUGUAAAGCUCGGUUAAUCGGGACGAAAGGCCUUCUUGCGAAUAGGGAGAAGGAUUGACGGUACCGGAAUAGAAAGCCACGGCUAACUACGUG
rnacentral:rRNA from 1 species